rnacentral:rRNA from 1 species
CCUACGGGAGACAGCAGUGGGGGAUAUUGCACAAUGGGGGAAACCCUGAUGCAGCGACGCCGCGUGGGUGAAGAAGUAUUUCGGUAUUUAAAGCCCUAUCAGCAGGGAAGAAAGAAGACGGUACCUGACUAAGAAGCCCCGGCUAACUACGUGCCAGUAGCCGCGGUAAUACGGAGGGGGCGAGCGUUAUCCGGAUUCACUGGGUUUAAAGGGAGCGUAGACGGCCGUGCAAGCCAGGAGUGAAAGCCUGGGGCCCAACCCAGGGACUGCUCUUGGAACUGGGAGGCUGGAGUGCGGGAGGGGCAGGUGGAAUUCGUGGUGUAGCGGUGAAAUGCGUAGAUAUCAGGAGGAACACCGACGGCGAAGGCGGCCUGCUGGACCGCGACUGACGUUGAGGCUCGAAAGCGUGGGGAGCGAACAGGAUUAGAUACCCGAGUAGUC